ACAACAACAACAACAACAACAACAACAACAACAACACCAACACCACCACCACAGGAAUGAUCACAAGUCUGUGAUGAAGGCCCAAAAUAUGCUGGUGGAGAUGGAUAAAGAUUCAUAAUACAAUAGUCUAGCACUCCUAGGAUUAAACAACAGCAACAAUUUCAGUACUUAAAUACUUAAAAAUCCUUUAAAUAAAAAUGGUGAGUACUGUAUUUUUCGUCCCAUAGGACGCACCUAGAUUUUUUUUUGGGGGGGGGAAAUAAAGAAAAAAAAUUAUUUCCCCCCCAGGCGCGGGGCUGGCGCAGGGGAAGCCCGAGCUUCCCCCGACCCUAGCCCCCAAGAACAGGCUGCUGCCUGC